GGCGCUAUGGUGUAGUGGCAGCACAUGGGAUUUUGAUUAUGUAAUCUUGUUCCCAUAACCCAGGUUCGAACCCUGGUAGUGCCU